rnacentral:lncRNA from 1 species
UUCCUUGUACACUCACUUAAAAGUACUCAACAAAUGUAUCUAAACAAAAGGUUAUUAUGAAAAUGUUAACAAUAUAUAUUUAUAACAGGAUUGAAAGAUAAUAUAUGAGAUAUUCUUCCUUGUAGACAACUAAUUCGCCCUUUUUUCAAGUAACUUGCACCGCUUGUCUACUUUGCAUUUAGAAAAAAAAGUGAAUGAAAUUUCACUUCUUUUCAUAUCUUGGUUUUAAAUCUUUGCAAGAAUAAAUGAAUAAGACAAAUGACUGAAUAUUAGUAUGUGAUUUUUUGAUAUAAUAAUCCAAACAAUCGUUUGCUCUCCAAUGAACAUGUUCACUUGUAUUUUUGUCCAUCUGAUGAAUUAAGCCUUAGUUCGUUCUUAUGUUGUACUGUUAUACCACUGUCCCAGGUUAGGGAGAUGAUUGGGAUCCCGCUAACAUGAUUAACCCAGCCACAUUAUUUAUGUAUGUGCCGGUCAAAAGUCAGGAGUCUGUAAUGCAGUGGUUGUCGUUUGUUAAUGCGUUACAUAUUUGUUUUUUGUUAAUUUUUUUAUAUAAAUAAGGCCGUUAGUUUUCUCAUUUGAAUUGUUUUACAUUGUCUUAUCGGGGCCUUGUAUAGUUGACUAUGCGGUAUGGGCUUUGCUCAUUGUUGAAGGCCGUAGGGUGAUCCAUAGUUGUUAAUGUCUGUGACAGCUAAUCACCUCAAAACAAUACAAAAAUUCUUUAUACAUAAUUUAACAGCAGUGUAAGGGAGGUAAUUCAAAAUUCUUCGGACGAUGACGACGUGAUACCAUUAUAAGUCAAAAACUGAUUCAAGGUUUCAAAUAAAAUCAUCUUUCAAAAGCUGAAAAGCAAUAGACGGAAAGACAAACAGACAAUGACCCAAAGUGAUGACAGAUCUUACAUGGCCUGUCAGGCCUGUUGUAAUACAAUAUUAUUUCUUUAGCAUAUACAGAUCACUGUUUUUUCUUCUUUAGAAUGUAUGGUUAUUACGUGUCGUAAUAAUUAGUUCUAUUAACAGAUUAAAUACAACAUAUUUAUCUUGCAAUUAUACAGUUCCCCAACAUCCAAACAAAACAAACAAUAUAGGGAUUUGUCAUGUUAGCAAAAAUAUAGAAAGGAAUACAUACACAAGAGAAAACACGAACAAACAUUUAUAACAAUACAAAUAAAAUGGUAGUCUAUAUUUGUAUACAGUACAUAAAACACGAACCAAUGUAACAAUACAAAUAAAAUGGUAGUCUAUAUUUGUAUACAGUACAUAAAACAUGAACCAAUGUAACAAUACAAAUAAAAUGGUAGUCUAUAUUUGUAUACAGUACAUAAAACACGAACCAAUGUAACAAUACAAAUAAAAUGGUAGUCUAUAUUUGUAUACAGUACAUAAAACACGAACCAAUGUAACAAUACAAAUAAAAUGGUAGUCUAUAUUUGUAUACAGUACAUAAAACACGAACCAAUGUAACAAUACAAAUAAAAUGGUAGUCUAUAUUUGUAUACAGUACAUAAAACACGAACCAAUGUAACAAUACAAAUAAAAUGGUAGUCUAUAUUUGUAUACAGUACAUAAAACACGAACCAAUGUAACAAUACAAAUAAAAUGGUAGCUCUAUAUUUGUAUACAGUAUAUAAAACACGAACCAAUGUAACAAUACAAAUAAAACAUACAGAACCAAUGUAACAAUACAAAUAAAAUGGUAGUCUAUAUUUGUAUACAGUACAUAAAACAUGAACCAAUGUAACAAUACAAAUAAAAUGGUAGUUCUAUAUUUGUAUACAGUACAUAAAACACGAACCAAUGUAACAAUACAAAUAAAAUGGUAGUCUAUAUUUGUAUACAGUACAUAAAACACGAACAAAUGUAACAAUACAAAUAAAAUGGUAGUCUAUAUUUGUAUACAGUACAUAAAACACGAACAAAUGUAACAAUACAAAUAAAAUGGUAGUCUAUAUUUGUAUACAGUACAUAAAACACGAACAAAUGUAACAAUACAAAUAAAAUGGUAGUCUAUAUUUGUAUACAGUACAUAAAACAUGAACCAAUGUAACAAUACAAAUAAAAUGGUAAUCUAUAUUUGUAUACAGUACAUAAAACAGAAACAAAUGUAACAAUACAAAUAAAAUGGUAGUCUAUAUUGUAUACAGUACAUAAAACAUGAACCAAUGUAACAAUACAAAUAAAAAUGGUAGUCUAUAUUUGUAUACAGUACAUAAAACAUGAACCAAUGUAACAAUACAAAUAAAAUGGUAGUCUAUAUUUGUAUACAGUACAUAAAACAUGAACCAAUGUAACAAUACAAAUAAAAUGGUAGUCUAUAUUUGUAUACAGUACAUAAAACAUGAACCAAUGUAACAAUACAAAUAAAAUGGUAGUCUAUAUUUGUAUACAGUACAUAAAACACGAACCAAUGUAACAAUACAAAUAAAAUGGUAGUCUAUAUUUGUAUACAGUACAUAAAACAUGAACCAAUGUAACAAUACAAAUAAAAUGGUAGUCUAUAUUUGUAUACAGUACAUAAAACAUGAACAAAUGUAACAAUACAAAUAAAAUGGUAGUCUAUAUUUGUAUACAGUAACAUAAAACACGAACCAAUGUAACAAUACAAAUAAAAUGGUAGUCUAUAUUUGUAUAUACAGUACAUAAAACAUGAACCAAUGUAACAAUACAAAUAAAAUGGUAGCUCUAUAUUUGUAUACAGUACAUAAAACAUGAACCAAUGUAACAAUACAAAUAAAAUGGUAGUCUAUAUUUGUAUACAGUACAUAAAACACUAACAAAUGUAACAAUACAAAUAAAAUGGUAGUCUAUAUUUGUAUACAGUACAUAAAACAUGAACCAAUGUAACAAUACAAAAUAAAAUGGUAGUCUCUAUAUUUG